rnacentral:tRNA from 1 species
GCCUGGGUGGCUCAGUUGGUUGGGCGUCUGACUUCAGCUCAUGUAAUGAUCUUAUGGUUUGUGGGUUCAAGUCCCACAUUGGGCU